AUGACCCCGUGGCCUUUCCGUGGGGCUCUCCAUCCAGCCAGCUCGAGUCAUCCUACCAGAAGCUAUGGUGACCUCUACAUUCUCUCCAGAACCCCCACCAUCUCUACAGCUUCAGCUAUGGGCCCAGCCCUGGUGCUGUUUACCCUCAAUUUCAUCAUCACCAACCUGUUCUACACUCUAGACAUGAGGCAUCCAGGCUCCACAAAGUUCAGCUCUACCAAGAAGACCCUGAAUCAACUGGUAAGAACCCAUCAAUGCCUACCCCGGUCUGCCUUGUCCUUACCUCACCCAGUCACUGCAACCCCUCCUGCUCAUCUCUCUCUCCUUCCUCCCCAGCUUGGUCCUUUGUUCAAGAGCACGAGUAUUGGCCCACUGUACUCUGGCUGCAGACUGACCUCGUUUGGGUUAUGA
rnacentral:lncRNA from 1 species